rnacentral:rRNA from 1 species
ACACGUCUACAUUAGAUACCCGGGUAGUCCUAGCCGUAAACGAUACUCGCUAGGUGUCGGCCACGGUGCGACCGUUGUCGGUGCCGUAGGGAAGCCGUGAAGCGAGCCACCCGGGAAGUACGGCCGCAAGGCUGAAACUUAAAGGAAUUGGCGGGGGAGCACCACAACGGGUGGAGCUUGCGGUUUAAUUGGAUUCAACGCCGGAAAUCUUACCGGGACCGACAGCAACAUGAAGGCCAGGCUGAAGACUUUGCCGGAUUAGCUG